CCUACGGGGGGCUGCAGUGAGGAAUAUUGGUCAAUGGGCGUAAGCCUGAACCAGCCAAGUCGCGUGAGGGAUGAAGGUUCUAUGGAUCGUAAACCUCUUUUAUAAGGGAGUAAAGUGUGGGACGUGUCCUAUUUUGUCUGUACCUUAUGAAUAAGGAUCGGCUAACUCCGUGCCAGCAGCUGCGGUAAUACGGAGGAUCCGCGCGUUAUCCGGAUUUAUUGGGUUUAAAGGGUGCGUAGGCGGCCUUUUCAGUCAGCGGUGAAAGUCUGUGGCUCAACCAUAGACGUGCCGUUGAAACUGGGGGGCGUGAUUAUGUUUGAGGCAGGCGGAAUGCGGGGUGUAGCGGUUAAAUGCUUAGAUAUCACGCAGAACCCCGAUUGCGAAGGCAGCCUGCCAAGCCAUGACUGACGCUGAUACACGAAAGCGUGGGGAUCAAACAGGAUUAGAUACCCUUGUAGUC
rnacentral:rRNA from 1 species